rnacentral:rRNA from 1 species
UACGGAGGGUGCAAGCGUUAUCCGGAUUCACUGGGUUUAAAGGGUGCGUAGGUGGGUAAGUAAGUCAGUGGUGAAAUCUCCGGGCUUAACCCGGAAACUGCCAUUGAUACUAUUUGUCUUGAAUACUGUGGAGGUCAGCGGAAUAUGUCAUGUAGCGGUGAAAUGCUUAGGUAUGACAUAGAACACCAAUUGCGAAGGCAGCUGGCUACACAAAUAUUGACACUGAGGCACGAAAGCGUGGGGAUCAAACAGG